CGUCCCAAUCCCAAAACCCCCACAGCACCGCGGCUCCACCCCCAACCCACCUCCAGCCCCCGGCUUCGGCGCGCCUCUUGCCGACGAUCCUCCCGGCUCCAGCGCGCCUCUCACGGCCGCCGCCCCGGCCCCGGCGCGCCUCCCGCCGCCGGGCCCCAUCCCCAGCGUGCCUCUCUCCAUCCCCAGAUCGCCUCCCGCCGCCGCCCUCCAUCCCCACCACGCCCCAACCGCCGGACCUUCGCCGGCCACCGCAGCCGGUGACCGCAUCCCCUGGCUUGGCUGCACGCGAUGGGGAUCCCCCAUCUCCCAGCAAACCUUGCAGCUGCACGCCACCUCCCUCGUCCUAAGGUUGGGCGCGAUGUGAACUGCGAACGGAUCAGUGAUUGGACUAGCAGCAGUUAACUGUACCAACACGGGCUGACAACAACUCGCACGCGUUCGUCUCCGUCGACGGCGGCACCCCCUACUCAGACGGUGCCUGCUACUCCUGCCUCUCAAGCACCAGCCACACCAGCACCUCAAGCAGUGGCUGUGCCAGCACCUAUUGUACCUGUCAGUGCUCCUGGUCCAGCUGCCACCUCCUCCCCAGCUCCUGCUGUUGCUGUCUCCACUGAAGCAGAAACUUAUGGUCAGGCUGCUUCAAACCUUGUUGCGGGAGGCGCCCUAGAGGCAACAAUUCAGUCAAUUCUUGAAAUGGGCGGUGGACAUGGGACAGAGACACUGAAUUGCUGCUCGUGAUAGUGGCACUUUUGCAUGGGAGAUCAUUCCGGUUGAAGUUCCUGUUGGCAGAGGAAAACCACCGGUACUUGUUGAAAAAGACAAGAGCCUAGAGCCCUAGACAGGUUUGACCCAGCGAAACUGAGGAAGCUCCGCCCAAGUUUCAAGGAGAACACUGGUACCGUUACUGCUGGGAAUGCUUCUAGUAUAAGAAAAUGUGGCCUCCCUCCUGAGGCUUCGUUCGUUUAAACCCACCCCAAACUGCAGGGAUUUCAUCGGGUUUUGACCCACGUCUCCCCCCGCGUGGAAGAAAACCUCUCGUAUCGAAAGAAAAAAGAGGAGAGGGCGAGAGCAGCAUGGUGCGGAGCGGGCGAUCUCUCUCCUCCACUGAAGACCGGCUGCUGCACCAUCCUUCUACCGGUGACAAGGGCCGUCUUGCCGGCGAGGCUCCACAGCUCCUCUCUACUUGCUCUACAUAGUUAAAACCUUUUUGUCAGUGUCAUUAGCAGUGCACAUAUAUGCUAUUUAUUUGUCCCUGAGAUUCAGUAAAACUGUAUUUCUUGGA